GCCUGGGUAAAUCGUGUAGCUUAACUAUACGACUUCCGGGUAGACUGCUAAACUUGAGACCGGGAGAGGCUAGAGGUACUCCUGGGGUAGAGGUGAAAUUCUGUAAUCCUAGGGGGACCACCAGUGGCGAAGGCGUCUAGCUAGAACGGGUCCGACGGUGAGGGACGAAGCCCUGGGGCACAAACCGGAUUAGAUACCCGGGUAGUCCAGGGUGUAAACGCUGCUUGCUUGAUGUUAGUUGGGCUCCGAGCCCAACUAGUGUCGGAGAGAAGUUGUUAAGCAAGCUGCCUGGGAAGUACGGUCGCAAGGCUGAAACUUAAAGGAAUUGGCGGGGGAGCACAGCAACGGGUGGAGCGUGCGGUUUAAUUGGACUCAACGCCGGAAAACUCACCGGAGGCGACGGUUACAUGAAGGCCAGGCUGAUGACCUUGCCUGAUUUUCCGAGAGGUGGUGCAUGGCCGCCGUCAGUUCGUACCGUAAGGCGUUCUGUUAAGUCAGACAACGAACGAGACCCUCAUCUUUAAUUGCUACUAGUAAGUUCGCUUACUGGGCGCAUUAGAGAAACCGCUGGCGAUAAGUCAGAGGAAGGCGAGGGCAACGGUAGGUCAGUAUGCCCUGAAUCCUCCGGGCUACACGCGCGCUACAAAGGCUAGGACAAUGAGCUUCAACACCGAGAGGUGAAGGUAAUCUCGAAACCUAGUCGUAGUUCGGAUUGAGGGUUGAAACUCACCCUCAUGAAGCUGGAAUCCGUAGUAAUCGCGGAUCAACAUCCCGCGGUGAAUAUGCCCCUGCUCC
rnacentral:rRNA from 1 species